ensembl:ncRNA T28B11.8 ncRNA
GUCAACGUACCCUUCUCAUCUUCCACGGUCUAACCUUUUUAGUUGUUGUUGUGGUCGGCACUCUUUAGAGAGUAGCUGAAUAUCUCUAGUCUGCCAACUCUCUAAUGUUACUGGAAUCAGAAGCCAGUUAGAAGAGAACAAGUACGGCAUCUAUGAUGCGAGUUUGUUUAUUUAUUAGUAGCCUCUAAAAUGAGUACUUUUUGAAAGGACACUCAUUCGGCGGCCCACUCAUCCACGAAGCAAUAUGAUCAAUCAUCUGUUUUAGAGUAGGGAGAUCCCACUAAGAGCUGAAUAGGGAUGAUGGGAGUAGAGCACGUGUUCUAUAUAGACACACAUGGUUCUCGAG